AUUACUGCGCACAGAGCGGGAGGGGGAAAGGAUAGAGGGAGCAGAAGGCACAGUGGGUGGUGCUGAUAAGCACAUUCCAGCACAUGGUGUAGAGGAGGGGCUGACACAAGAAUUGUUUGUUGGACCACAAGACCCAGGAUUACUUACAACAGAGGUGGUGGGGGAAGGGAUGCCGCAUGGCAAACUGUCCUGUUCUUUGUUCCCUAUCACACCCAAAUCCUCCAUUUUACUAUACCAAUAUUGUCCAUUCUUCUCAAUUUCUUUCAA